AGUAGGGAAUAUUGGGCAAUGGGCGGAAGCCUGACCCAGCCAUUCCGUGUGCAGGAAGAAGGCCUUCUGGGUUGUAAACUGCUUUAGAUAGGGAGCAAAGAUAGUUUAAGAUUAUUGUGAGAGUACCUAUAGAAUAAGCACCGGCAAACUCCGUGCCAGCAGCCGCGGUAAUACGGAGGGUGCGAGCGUUGUCCGGAUUUAUUGGGUUUAAAGGGUGCGUAGGUUGGUGUAUAAGUUUGCGGUGAAAGGUUGACGCUUAACGUCGAGAAUGCCGUGGAUACUGUAUAUCUGGAGUGUAAUCGAGGUAACUGGAAUGGGGAGUGUAGCGGUGAAAUGCUUAGAUAUUUCUCGGAACGCCGAUUGCGUAGGCAGGUUACUAGGUUAUUACUGACACUGAGGCACGAGAGCGUGGGGAUCAAACAGGAUUAGAUACCCUGGUAGUCCACGCUGUAAACGUUGAUAACUUGCUGUUGGUACAUUAUAGAGAUGUGUCAGUGGCUAAGGGAAACCGAUAAGUUAUCCAC
rnacentral:rRNA from 1 species